rnacentral:rRNA from 1 species
UGGGGAAUAUUGCACAAUGGGCGAAAGCCUGAUGCAGCGACGCCGCGUGAGGGAUGACGUCCUUCGGGUUGUAAACCUCUUUCAGCAGGGACGAAGCGCAAGUGACGGUACCUGCAGAAGAAGCACCGGCUAACUACGUGCCAGCAGCCGCGGUAAUACGUAGGGUGCAAGCGUUGUCCGGAAUUACUGGGCGUAAAGAGUUCUUAGGCGGUUUGUCGCGUCGUUUGUGAAAACCAGCAGCUCAACUGCUGGCUUGCAGGCGAUAAGGGCAGACGUGAGUACUGCAGGGGAGACUGGAAUUCCAGGUGUAGCGGUGAAAUGCGCAGAAAUCAGGAGGAACACCGGUGGCGAAGGCGGGUCUCUGGGCAGUAACUGACGCUGAGGAACGAAAGCGUGGGUAGCGAACAGG